UACAGAGGUCUCAAGCGUUGUUCGGAUUCAUUGGGCGUAAAGGGUGCGUAGGCGGCGCGGUAAGUCGGGUGUGAAAUCUCGGGGCUUAACUCCGAAACUGCAUUCGAUACUGCCGUGCUUGAGGACUGGAGAGGAGACUGGAAUUUACGGUGUAGCGGUGAAAUGCGUAGAUAUCGUAAGGAAGACCAGUGGCGAAGGCGGGUCUCUGGGCCGGAACUGACGCUGAGGAGCGAAAGCGUGGGUAGCAAACAGG
rnacentral:rRNA from 1 species